AUUGAACGCUGGCGGAAUGCUUUACACAUGCAAGUCGAACGGCAGCACGGACUUCGGUCUGGUGGCGAGUGGCGAACGGGUGAGUAAUGUAUCGGAACGUGCCCAGUCGUGGGGGAUAACGUAGUGAAAAUUACGCUAAUACCGCAUACGAUCUAUGGAUGAAAGCGGGGGAUCGCAAGACCUCGCGCGAUUGGAGCGGCCGAUAUCAGAUUAGGCAGUUGGGGGGGUAAAGGCCCACCAAGCCAACGAUCUGUAGCUGGUUUAAGAGGCCGACCAGCCACACUGGAACUGAGACACGGUCCAGGCUCCUACGGGAGGCAGCAGUGGGGAAUUUUGGACAAUGGGCGAAAGCCUGAUCCAGCCAUUCCGCGUGCAGGAUGAAGGCCCUCGGUUUGUAAACUGCUUUUGUACAGAACGAAAAGGUUUCUACUAAUACUAGGAGCUCAUGACGGUACUGUAAGAAUAAGCACCGGCUAACUACGUGCCAGCCGCCGCCGUAA
rnacentral:rRNA from 1 species